GACUUAAAUAUGCGAUGGGGUAUUGUAAAUGGAAGAGUGGCCUUGCUGCUACGAUCCACUGAGAUUGUACAUCCAAUCCAAUCGAAUCAAAAGAGUAUUUGGUGCCAUGGAGGGAGAGUCUGGUGCCAGUAGCCGCGGUAAUUCCAUCACCAAAAGUGUAUAUUUAAGUUGUUGUAGUUAAAUAUCUCAAAGUUGGACUUUGGGAUUGGCCAGCCGGUCUGUCUAUGGUGUCAAUUAGUCAUCUCGUCCCUUCUGUCGGUGAUGCGCUACUGGCCUUAACUGGCCGAGUCAAGCCUUCGGUGCUGUUACUUUGAAGAAAUUAUAGUGCUUCAAGCAAGCCUACGCUCUAUAUACAUUAGAAUGGGACAACAUUAUAGUAUUUUGGUCCUAUUACAUUGGCCUUCGGUUUUGAAAUAAUGAUUAACUGGGACAGUCGGGGGCAUUCGUAUUUCAUAGUUAUAGGUGAAAUUAUUGGAUUUAUCAAAUACGAACAACUAUAGGGGGAUUAAGUUAUUGAGUCACUCGAUAAAGAUCUGAGAGAGAGUGGUCGAGGUGAGGCUGAGACGGAUAGGGUCUAUUUCAGAGAACCAGUUCGGAUUUAUGCCCGGCCGCUCGACGACGGAGGCAAUCCACCUGGUACGGAGGUUGGUGGAGCAGUAUAGGGAGAGGAAGAAGGAUCUGCACAUGGUGUUUAUCGACCUGGAGAAGGCUUACGACAAAGUCCCCAGGGAGGUGCUUUGGAGAUGCUUGGAGGUGAGUGGGGUACCGCUGGCAUAUAUCAGAGUAAUUAAGGAUAUGUAUGAUGGAGCGAAAACCCAGGUGAGGACGGCGGGAGGAGACUCGGAGCAUUUCACUGUCCUGACAGGAUUGCAUCAGGGAUCUACUCUUAGUCCCUUUUUGUUUGCGUUGGUGAUGGAUGUGUUGACGCGGCGUAUUCAAGGGGAGGUGCCGUGGUGUAUGCUUUUUAGUUUUGAUAGAUGAGACUCGAGGGGGUGUGAAUGACAAAUUAGAGGUGUGGAGGCGAACUCUUGAGUCUAAAGGGUUCAGGGUGAGCAGAAGCAAGACAGAGUAUGUGGAAUGCAAGUUUAAUGACGUGAGGCGGGAGAAUGAGGUAGUAGUGAAGCUGGAAGCUCAGGAGGUAUGUAAGAGGGACAAGCUCAAGUAUCUUGGGUCCGUGAUCCAGAGUAAUAAUGAGAUUGACGAGGAUGUCUCGCACCGUAUUGGGGAGGGAUGGAUGAAGUGGAAACUCGCGUCGGGGGUGCUGUGUGAUAAGAAGGUGCCGCCCAAGCUUAAAGGCAAAUUCUACAGGGUGGUAGUCCGUCCGGCCUUGUUGUAUGGAGCGGAGUGUUGGCCAGUUAAGAACUCCCACAUCCAAAAAAUGAAGGUGGCAGAAAUGCGGAUGUUGCGCUGGAUGUGUGGACUGACUAGAGGGGAUAGAGUUCGGAAUGAGACUAUCCGGGAGAAGGUUGGUGUGACUUCAGUGGAGUGCAAGAUGCGGGAAGCACGAUUGGGAUGGUUCGGACACGUGAAGAGGAGGGGCAUGGAUGCCCCGGUCUGUAAGUGUGAGAGGCUAGCAUUAGAUGGUUUUAGGCGGGGUAGGGGUAGGCAGAAGAAGUACUGGGGUGAGGUGGUUAGGCGGGACAUGGAACAGUUAUAGCUCACCGAGGACAUGACCCUAGAUAGAAAGGUUUGGAGGACGCGAAUUACGGCAGAGGAUUAGGGCCAGUUCGGGUCGCUACUGUAGGGAAUUACUUGGUGGGGGUUUUAUUCUUGUCAUGAUUUUGUGUUCCGUGUUCCAUGUUGUAUUAAGAAUCUGUGUGCUUUCCCCUGCUUUCCUCUGCUUUAUAUUACUUAUGGGUGCCGUAUUUAUGUUAUGUAAUCUACUUCUGUGCUGCCCUAUGUGUUUGUGUAGUAUCUCGUGCCUUGAGCCGGGGGUCUAUCGGAAACAGGCUUUCUACUUCAUUAGAGGUAGAGGUAUGGACUGCGUACAUCUUACCCCCCCAGACCCCACUAGGUGGGAAUACACUGGGUUUGUUGUUGUUGUUGAUCAAAUACGAACAACUGCGAAAGAAUUUUUCGAGGAUGUUUUCAUUAAUCAAGAACUAAAAGUUGGGGGCUCGAAGGCGAUCAGAUACCAUCCUAGUCUCAAUCAUAAAUUACUUUUAGGACUCUACAGGCACCUUAUAAGAAAUUAAAGUUUUUGGGUUCUCGGGGGAGUAUGGUCGCAAAGCUGAAACUUAAAGAAAUUGACGGAAGGGAACCACCAGGAGUGGAGCCUGUGACUUAAUUUGACUCAACAUGGGGAAACUUACCAGGUCUAGACAUAGGAAGGAUUGACAAACUGAGAGCUCUUUCUUAAUUCUAUGUGUGGUGGUGCAUGGCCGUUCUUAGUUGGUGGAGCAACUUGUCUGGUUAAUUUCGUUAACGAAUAAGACCUUAGCCUGCUAUGUAGCUAUGCAGAGGUAUCCCUUCGCGGCCAUCUUCUUAGAGGGACUACGACCUUUUAGACCACAAAAGUUUGAGUGAAUAACAGGUCUGUGAUGCCCUUAGAUAUUCUGCUCCACACGCGCGCUACACUAAUGUAUUCAACGAGUUUAUAGCCUCGGCCAAAAGGCCCGGCUAAUCUUUCAAAUUUCAUCGUCAUGGGGAUAGAUCAUUGCAAUUGUUGGUCUUCAACGAGGAAUUCCUAGUAAGCGCGAGUCAUCAACUCGCGUUUACUAUGUCCCUGCCCAUUGUACAGCCCAUCCGGGAACAACC
rnacentral:ncRNA from 1 species